rnacentral:lncRNA from 1 species
AGCGAAGGAUCACGAUAGCAUGAUGUUUUUCAUGGAUGGCGUCGUGGAUUCGGCGUGAUUGAAGGCGAUUCGUGGAUUCGGAUUGUGGGCUCGUGGAUUCGAGUGGCGUUCGUGGAUUCGGACGUGUGCGAGGCGUUCGUGGAUUCGAACGUGAGGGCGUGGACAACCUGGAGGGUUGCGCGAGAUUCGUAAGAGGUUAAGAGAGAUCGAGUCCAUGGAGUCGGUAAUCACCUUGUAAUCUUUUUUCUUAGUGAAUUAUUUUUUCGCGUGUUGAUCCCGUGGGUUUUUCUCCAAGUUGAAGUUUUUCCACGUAAAUCUCAAUGUGAUUUUUAUUUUUCGCAUUUAUUUUUAUCGCAUUGA